AGUAGAAUUACUGGGUCAUAUUAUAAGUGUAUGUUUAAUCCUUAAAAGAACUUAUAAACCAUUUUUCAGAGUGACUGUGCCACCUAGUAUUCCCACUGGAAAU
rnacentral:pre_miRNA from 1 species